GACGUAGGUGGCAAGCGUUAUCCGGAUUUACUGGGCGUAAAGGGUGUGCAGGCGGAGCACCAAGUGGUGUAUGAAAUCUCCCGGCUCAACCGGGUGCGGUUAUGCCAGACUGGUGCUCUUGAGGGCGAGAGAGGGAGGCGGAAUUCCGGGUGUAGUGGUGAAAUGCGUAGAGAUCCGGAGGAACCCCAGAGGCGAAGGCGGCCUCCUGGCUCGCCCCUGACGCUCAGACACGACAGCAUGGGGAGCGAACGGG
rnacentral:rRNA from 1 species